rnacentral:misc_RNA from 1 species
GCAGCCAUAGCCGCCAUUUGCUCUCCUGCUUCUUUUCGUUUCAUGAUUUUUAUUAUUUCACUACCCCAUUACCCAUUACUAUAUAUUCAUUUUAGAUAAAAUCAUUUUAUUAUUGCUAGUACUGGACAAUCACCAGAGAUAUUAGAAGGGACAGGGACUUCAAAAAGCCCUCCAUUAAUUUAAUUUAAUGCAAAAAAAAAAAGCAAAUGAGAGAGAACAUUUUUAUUUAUUAAAAAAAAAGGGAGACAUGAAGCAGAUCAGGUAUUUAUAAGCACUUGUACCUCUGCAAUGAUGCACUACUCACUUGCCUAAAGAAAGCGAACUACUGCAGCAAGUGGAAGAAGAAGAAAGAAUAAGAGGAAACAGAAGAGAAAAAGAAGCUUAUUAACGUUUACAAUCCCCUUCUGGGUUUCCCCCCCCUUUUCUCCAGGGUGUCUCCUAUGAGUUGUUAGAAUACGGAUAAGCUGUUCAAAAAUCAAAUUCCUGCAUUUUUUUUUCUUUCCUAUUUUUCCUCUCUUCAUGGUUUGACUAAUUUCGAAGUCCUAGCUUAGCCCCUGUUCUUUCUAUUUCCUUGCUUAUUUCACGCGUUGUCGUUGUUCUUCUUCUUCUUAUUAUUAUUAUUAUAAUAUAGUUUCAACAAGUCUCUCAGCCCUCCCCCUCCUUGUAUCUCUAUAUAUACACAAAAACCCUGAUCCUCUGCGUACCAAAGAAACGAAGAAGCUUGGCUAUAGGGUUUGUUUUGAUUGGUUUAGUUUGGUAUUAUUAGCAGGGCAGAGGAGAGAAUGAUAGUUGUGAGAGAGUUUGAUCCGAGCAGAGAUCGAGUGGGUGUUGAAGAAGUGGAGAGAAGAUGUGAGGUUGGUCCCAGUGGGAAGCUCUCUCUCUUCACCGACCUCUUGGGUGACCCAAUUUGCAGGGUCCGCCACUCCCCUGCUUUCCUCAUGCUGGUGGCUGAGUUGGGUGAGGAGAUAGUGGGUAUGAUAAGAGGUUGCAUCAAAACCGUUACCUGUGGCAAAAAGCUUUCUAGACACGUCAAAAUCGCCGCCACCUCCACCACCGCCACCACCAAUAACAAUGACCCUCCAAAACCUCUCCCUGUCUACACUAAACUCGCUUACAUCUUAGGCCUGCGCGUUUCUCCUUCCCAUCGGAGAAUGGGAAUAGGCUUAAAACUGGUGCGCACCAUGGAGGACUGGUUUCGUGAAAACGGCGCUGAAUAUUCCUACUUGGCAACUGAAAACGACAACGACGCUUCCGUUAAGCUGUUCACCGACAAAUGCGGUUACUCAAAGUUCCGUACGCCUUCAAUUCUCGUUAACCCGGUCUUUGCUCACAGACUUGCCGUUUCCAAAAGAAUCACCAUCUUCCAACUCGCCCCUCACGAUGCGGAAUUGCUCUAUCGUCGCCGUUUUUCCACCAUAGAAUUCUUCCCCCGCGACAUUGACUCGGUGCUCAAUAACAAACUCAGCUUGGGCACCUUCUUGGCCGUGCCACGUGGCAAAUAUAAAUCAGAUUCCUGGCCCGGGUUUGAUAAGUUUUUGUCCGACCCACCUGAGUCUUGGGCCGUGCUAAGCGUGUGGAACUGUAAGGACGUGUUUAGACUGGAAGUCCGUGGAUUGUCGCUCGUAAAGCGCGCGUUUGCUAAAACGACGAGAAUGGUUGACAAGGCGUUGCCGUUUCUGAGGUUGCCAUCGGUGCCCGAGGUGUUCAGGCCGUUUGGGUUGCAUUUUUUGUAUGGUCUUGGAGGUAAAGGCCCACGCGCGGUGAAAAUGGUAAAGGCGCUUUGUGCGCACGCGCAUAACCUGGCGAAGGAGCGUGGUUGUGGUGUGGUGGCUACGGAGGUGUCGAGUCGCGAACCACUUAAGUUAGGAAUUCCACACUGGAAAAUGCUAUCGUGCGCUGAGGACUUAUGGUGCAUCAAGAGGCUAGGGGAAGACUACAGUGACGGGUUCAUCGGUGACUGGACCAAAUCACCCCCUGGCGUGGCCAUUUUUGUGGACCCUAGAGAGUUCUAGACUUGUAAAAGUCAUAUCAAAGAAGAAAAUAUAAAAAAGCUAAAUUAAUAGAGGUACAACACAAAGGCAAAAUAAAAAAAAGCCUUUUUUUUAUAUUAUUUCUUCUUUAUUUUUGUGUUUUUAUUAGGGGUUUUAAUGUGGAGGAUUUUGGCCUUGGGGGAUUGAAAAAGAGGGAAUUAGAAGCUAUGGGUGUUUGUUGUAGGGAGGAAUAUCCCCACUUUUGUUUACUUGUCAACUUUUUGUAAAUGGAUUUGGCUUUUUAGAUCCUCAAGAAGCCAAACGGAGCCUUAGUUUGAUAUGUGAAUGGUUUAUCUACCUUCUUUACUUAAUAUUCCAAAAUAAGUUGAGAUAGAGAUGGUAAGGUGAAAUUGGAAUAUCCUCCUCACCCCUGAACACAAUUGUGUUCCAUGCAGUAACUUCUCUUUUUAUUUCUUCCAUUCAAGAAUAAGACUCCUUUUG